GACGCAACUCGCUCUCUGAUUUACGUCACGGCGCGGGCGGAAGAUGGCCGGGUUGUUCGCCCGCAGCUGCUAACCCGGCAGUGCGGAGCUGGAGCCUGGCUCCCGCUGCCGCGGAGCGGCCGACGCCAUGUCGCUGCUGCAGUCUGCGCUGGACUUCCUGGCGGGCCCUGGUUCUCUUGGCGGAGCUGCGGGCCGUGAUCAGAGUGACUUCGUGGGGCAGACAGUGGAGCUGGGCGAGCUGCGUCUGCGGGUGCGGCGGGUCCUGGCCGAGGGAGGGUUUGCUUUUGUUUAUGAAGCUCAAGAUCUGGGAAGUGGCAGAGAGUAUGCAUUAAAGCGAUUACUAUCCAAUGAAGAGGAAAAGAACAGAGCCAUCAUUCAGGAAGUUUGUUUCUUGAAAAAACUUUCUGGCCACCCCAAUAUUGUCCAGUUCUGCUCUGCAGCAUCCAUAGGAAAAGAGGAGUCGGACACUGGGCAGGCUGAGUUCCUCCUGCUUACGGAGCUUUGUAAAGGACAGCUGGUGGAGUUUCUCAAGAGAGUUGAAUGUAAAGGUCCUCUGUCCUGCGACAGCAUUCUGAAGAUCUUCUACCAGACAUGCAGAGCAGUGCAGCACAUGCACAGGCAGAAACCACCCAUCAUCCACAGAGAUCUCAAGGUUGAAAACUUACUGCUUAGUAACCAGGGGACCAUUAAGCUGUGUGACUUUGGCAGUGCCACAACCAUCUCCCAUUAUCCUGACUACAGCUGGAGUGCCCAGAAGCGAGCCAUGGUGGAGGAAGAGAUCACAAGGAACACCACACCCAUGUACAGAACACCAGAAAUUGUAGACCUGUAUUCCAACUUCCCCAUUGGCGAAAAGCAGGAUAUCUGGGCACUGGGCUGUAUCUUAUACCUGCUGUGUUUCCGGCAGCAUCCUUUUGAGGAUGGAGCAAAACUUCGGAUAGUCAAUGGGAAGUAUUCCAUUCCUGUGAAUGACACUCGUUACACAGUCUUCCAUGACCUUAUUCGUGCCAUGCUAAAGGUCAACCCAGAGGAGAGGCUGUCCAUUGCUGAAGUGGUCCGACAACUGCAGGAAAUUGCAGCAGCUAGGAAUGUGAACCCCAAAGCUCCCAUCACAGAGCUGCUGGAGCAGAAUGGUGGCUAUGGGAACUCAGGGCCUUCCCGAGCACAACCACCUUGCGGGGGCACCGUGAACAGCAGUGGAGUUUUGGCUCUGGCAGAGUAUGACCAGCCCUACGGUGGGUUUCUUGAUAUUCUGCGGGGUGGGACCGAACGGCUCUUCACCAACCUCAAGGAUACUUCCUCCAAGGUCAUCCAGUCUGUGGCUAACUAUGCAAAGGGUGAUCUGGACAUAUCUUACAUCACAUCCAGGAUUGCAGUGAUGUCAUUCCCAGCAGAAGGUGUGGAGUCUGCAAUCAAAAACAAUAUAGAGGAUGUGCGAAUGUUUCUGGAUGCUAAGCAUCCAGGACAUUAUGCUGUCUACAACCUUUCUCCAAGGAUAUACCGGGCUUCCAAGUUUCACAACCGGGUCACUGAGUGUGGCUGGGCAGUCAGACGGGCACCACAUCUCCACAGUUUGUAUACUCUAUGUAGGAGCAUGCAUGCCUGGCUCCGGGAAGACCACAGGAACGUCUGUGUUGUGCAUUGCAUGGAUGGGAGAGCUGCAUCUGCUGUGGCAGUCUGUGCAUUCCUGUGCUUCUGCCGUCUCUUCAGCACUGCAGAGGCUGCUGUGUACAUGUUCAGCAUGAAGCGCUGCCCACCAGGCAUUUGGCCAUCCCACAAAAGGUACAUUGAAUAUGUAUGUGACAUGGUGGCAGAGGAGCCCAUCACGCCCCAUAGCAAGCCAAUGCUGGUGAAAUCUGUUGUCAUGACCCCCGUGCCACUGUUCAGCAAGCAGAGGAAUGGCUGCCGACCGUUCUGUGAGGUCUACGUUGGAGAGGAGCGUGUCACCACCACGUCGCAGGAAUAUGACAGAAUGAAGGAAUUUAAAAUUGAGGAUGGCAAGGCUGUCAUCCCCCUGGGCGUAACAGUUCAAGGAGACGUGCUCAUCAUCAUCUACCAUGCCAGGGCCACACUGGGAGGGAGGCUGCAGGCUAAGAUGGCGUCCAUGAAAAUGUUCCAGAUCCAGUUCCACACUGGGUUCGUGCCUCGAAACGCAACCACUGUGAAAUUUGCAAAAUAUGACCUGGAUGCUUGUGAUAUUCAAGAGAAGUACCCAGAUCUGUUCCAGGUGAACCUGGAAGUGGAGGUAGAGCCUAGAGACAGGCCCAGCCGAGAAGCUCCACCUUGGGAGAACACCAGCCUAAGGGGGUUAAACCCCAAGAUCCUCUUUUCCAACAGGGAAGAGCAGCAGGACAUUCUGUCUAAGUUUGGGAAGCCGGAGCUACCCCGGCAGCCGGGCUCCACAGCUCAGUAUGAUGCUGAGGCAGGGUCUCCGGAGGCUGAGAUCACAGAGUCGGACUCACCGCAGAGCAGCAGUACGGACACCAACCACUUUCUUCACACACUGGAUUGGCAGGAGGAAAAAGAACCAGAGACUGGGUUAGACAAUACCUCUCCUAAGGAGAGUCAGUCUGUCCUGAUUGCAGACGGAGAUGGAAGUGAAGUAUCAGAUGAAGAAGAGGCUUCAUUCCCCAGUGAGGAGAGGAAACCAGGAGCUGGAGAAGAUACACCAAGGCUGGCUGCUGGGACCAAACAGCAAGACUUAAUAUUUGAUGUGGGCAUGCUGGCUGCCCCACAGGAGCCUGUACAGCCCGAAGAAGGUGUUGAUCUCCUGGGGCUACACUCUGAGGGGGACUUAAGGCCUGCUGCCCCCUUACAGGCUUGUGGGGUCCCAUCUAGCAACACUGACCUGUUGAGCUGCCUUCUUGAACCAUCUGAUGCUGCUCAAGUAGGGCCUCCUGGUGACCUGCUUGGUGGUGAGGCUCCACUGCUGCUAGCAAGCCCAGUUUCUCCUCUUGGGCUGCAGAACAACCUACAAGGAAAAGUCCCUGACACUGUGGACCCAUUUGACCAGUUCCUGCUGUCAUCCAACUCAGACACCCAGCCCUGCUCCAAGCCUGAUCUCUUUGGAGAGUUUCUCAACUCUGACUCUGUAGCUUCCUCAACUGCCUUCCCAUCCACCCACAGUGCCCCACCCCCAUCCUGUAGCACUGCCUUCCUGCACCUAGGGGAUCUGCCAGCAGAGCCCAGCAAGGUAAUAGCUUCAUCCAGCCACCCAGAUCUGCUAGGAGGAUGGGAUACGUGGGCUGACACAGCUACACCUGGGCCAGCCUCCAUUCCAGUACCAGAAGGUGGAAUCUUACUGUAUACCUCUGGCUGUUCCGGAUUUCAUGAGACCAGGCUUGCCUCGAACUUAACAGAAACCCACCUGCUUUUUAUGUGCAAAUGUUAUUACAUGGGUGCUGGGAUCUGAACAUUGGUCUUUAUGAUUGAGCAGCAAGCACUCUUGACCACUAAGCCAAUCUUUCCAUCUUCAUAGCUAUCAUUUUUAAUGAUCGGAUAAUAUUUUGAGUAGUUGUACAAUAAUUAUUUCAAGAUUUUAUGCUUAGACUAGUCUCAAAUUUACAUUAUUAUAUCAUGAAGAACAGUCACAUGUUAGAAAGAUUAUAACAAAUGGUAAUACAAUGUCAGAACAAUGAAGACAUUUUCUGGUUCUUGGUACCAAAUGUUCACUGAGGAGCAGUGUGGAUGCUGGAGCCAGCUACUCUUCCAGGUACCCUCUUCUCUUCUGCAGGUCACCCAGCCCCUCCUGGCCCCAACCCCAGCCAAACCAAGUCUCAGAACCUUGACCCAUUUGCUGAUCUCAGUGAUCUCAGCUCUAGCCUCCAAGGCCUGCCUGCUGGACUUCCUGCAGGGGGCUUUGUUGGCGCACCAGCCCCCACUCAAAAGAGCAACAGCCCCUGGCAGGCAAAUCGUCCCACAGCCCCUGGAACCUCAUGGACCCCCCAGGCCAAGCCAGCCCCCAGAGCCUCUGAACAGCUAAGGUCUCACUUCAGUGUGAUCGGGGCCCGAGAAGAGAGGGGCGUCCGUGUGCCCAGCUUUGCCCAAAAGCCAAAGGUCUCAGAAAAUGAUUUUGAAGAUCUUCUGCCUAAUCAAGGCUUCUCUAAGUCUGACAAGAAGGGGCCAAAGACCAUGGCAGAGAUGCGGAAACAGGAACUUGCCAGAGAUACAGACCCACUCAAAUUGAAGCUUUUGGACUGGAUUGAAGGCAAGGAGAGGAACAUUCGUGCACUGCUGUCCACUCUGCACACGGUAUUGUGGGAUGGGGAGAGCCGCUGGACACCUGUGAGUAUGGCUGACCUGGUGACUCCAGAGCAGGUGAAGAAGCAGUACCGCCGUGCAGUGCUGGUAGUGCAUCCUGAUAAGGCCACAGGGCAGCCGUAUGAACAGUAUGCCAAGAUGAUCUUCAUGGAGCUGAAUGAUGCAUGGUCUGAGUUUGAAAACCAGGGCUCGAGGCCCCUCUUCUGAGGCCUGUGAUGGCUAUGGCUGCAGGAGCUGUUCAUGAAUCCUGAAUGCUGCUGGCCUGACUGAGGCACAAAUGGGACCAUAACAGGUGUGGCAGGUGAUAUCGCCCCAGGGGCCUGGACCAUCUACUCCCAAUCAUCCCUGCAUUCAUCAUGGACAAAUACCAUUCCAUGGCUGGGAGAGAAAGCAUUCCUCAGAUCUGAUGUUAGUUGUUUUGUUUUUCUUUUUCUUGUACCAGAGGAAAAGUGUUGAUUUAUAUUCCUUCCACAGCUGUCACAGUUUGUGAUUUACUUGGUGUCUGGUGGCUGUCACCUCUUGGAUGGCACAUGUCGCUGGCACUUCUCUCCUGUCAUUUCUUCAAAUAUGGGGGUACAUCCACAUCCUACUCUGAUCAGUUUGCCAAUCAUCUGUACAUAAUUAAACUAUUUUCUGAUGGCUGGUGCA